GAUGAACGCUGGCGGCGUGCCUAAUACAUGCAAGUCGAGCGAACGGACGAGAAGCUUGCUUCUCUGAUGUUAGCGGCGGACGGGUGAGUAACACGUGGAUAACCUACCUAUAAGACUGGGAUAACUUCGGGAAACCGUAGCUAAUACCGGAUAAUAUUUUGAACCGCAUGGUUCAAAAGUGAAAGACGGUCUUGCUGUCACUUAUAGAUGGAUCCGCGCCGCAUUAGCUAGUUGGUAAGGUAACGGCUUACCAAGGCAACGAUGCAUAGCCGACCUGAGAGGGUGAUCGGCCACACUGGAACUGAGACACGGUCCAGACUCCUACGGGAGGCAGCAGUAGGGAAUCUUCCGCAAUGGGCGAAAGCCUGACGGAGCAACGCCGCGUGAGUGAUGAAGGUCUUCGGAUCGUAAAACUCUGUUAUUAGUGAAGAACAUAUGUGUAAGUAACUGUGCACAUCUUGACGGUACCUAAUCAGAAAGCCACGGCUAACUACGUG
rnacentral:rRNA from 1 species